rnacentral:rRNA from 1 species
CUGGGCUUGACAUGCAGGGCAAAGCCGGUGAAAGCCGGCGCUCUACGGAGCCUGCACAGGUGGUGCAUGGCUGUCGUCAGCUCGUGCCGUGAGGUGUUGCCUUAAGUGGCGCAACGAGCGCAACCCUUGUCCCUAGUUGCCAGCGGGUCAUGCCGGGAACUCUAGGGAGACUGCCGGUGCCAAACCGGAGGAAGGUGGGGAUGACGUCAAGUCAUCAUGCCCCUUAUGUCCAGGGCUGCACGCAUGCUACAAUGCGCGGUACAAAGGGCUGCGAUCCUGUGAGGGGGAGCGAAUCCCAAAAAGCCGCGCUCAGUUCGGAUCGGGGUCUGCAACCCGACCCCGUGAAGUCGGAGUCGCUAGUAAUCGCAGAUCAGCAAUGCUGCGGUGAAUACGUUCCC